UAAUACGUAGGGGGCGAGCGUUGUCCGGAAUUAUUGGGCGUAAAGGGCGCGUAGGCGGUCUCUUAAGUCUGAUGUGAAAGCCCCCGGCUUAACCGGGGAGGGUCAUUGGAAACUGGGAGACUUGAGUGCAGGAGAGGGAAGCGGAAUUCCAUGUGUAGCGGUGAAAUGCGUAGAGAUAUGGAGGAACACCAGUGGCGAAGGCGGCUUCCUGGCCUGUAACUGACGCUGAGGCGCGAAAGCGUGGGGAGCAAACAGG
rnacentral:rRNA from 1 species